UAGGCUGGACAGCCGCGGAUGGGAACCGAAAGGGCCCAGAUGAGGAAAGUCCGGGCUCCACAGGGCAGGGAUAACGGGUAACGCCCGCCGAGGGUAACCUCAGGACAAGUGCAACAGAGAGAUACCGCCCCGCAAGGGGUAAGGGUGAAAAGGUGCGGUAAGAGCGCACCCGGCCCAUGGUAACAUGGGUUUUACGAUGUAAACUCUAUCCCGGAGCAACGCCGUGGAGGGACAAUAGGUUCGCCCGACCGUCCCGAGGAGGCGGCUUGACCCCAUGGGCAACCAUGGGGCUAGAUAGAUGGCUGUCAAAACAGAACCCGGCUUAUAGGCCUG
rnacentral:RNase_P_RNA from 1 species